rnacentral:rRNA from 1 species
GACGAACGCUGGCGGCGUGCCUAAUACAUGCAAGUAGAACGCUGAAGGAGGAGCUUGCUCUUCUGGAUGAGUUGCGAACGGGUGAGUAACGCGUAGGUAACCUGCCUGGUAGCGGGCGAUAACUAUUGGAAACGAUAGCUAAUACCGCAUAAGAGUAGAUGUUGCAUGACAUUUACUUAAAAGGUGCAAUUGCAUCACUACCAGAUGGACCUGCGUUGUAUUAGCUAGUUGGUGGGGUAACGGCUUACCAAGGCGACGAUACAUAGCCGACCUGAGAGGGUGAUCGGCCACACUGGGACUGAGACACGGCUCAGACUCCUACGGGAGGCAGCAGUAGGGAAUCUUCGGCAAUGGACGGAAGUCUGACCGAGCAACGCCGCGUGAGUGAAGAAGGUUUUCGGAUCGUAAAGCUCUGUUGUAAGAGAAGAACGAGGGUGAGAGUGGAAAGUUCACACUGUGACGGUAUCUUACCAGAAAGGGACGGCUAACUACGUG